rnacentral:antisense_RNA from 1 species
AUAGCUUUUUAAAUUAAAAUUUUACAAACUUUUUUAACUAACAUUGAUUAUUAAAAUGAAUAUUUUUUAAGAAGAAAGAUAGAAGAAAAUGUUUAGGAUUGUUAUCUAUUGAUUAUUCAUUACAGAUGUAAGGAAAUACAAAAUGGUACCAACUGACCAAGCUUGGGCAAAACAACUAUCUUUGCAAAAUGAUCCGUUGUCAUUAGUGAGCUCUGGCAAAGAACCCCAUUGGUCCGAAAUUAUGUGAUUUCUAUGGUUCAUCAGAUAUUUCAUUGUUUCAGAAAUAGCUAACUUGGUGGCUUUUUCAGUACUAAUAGUUUUUUCGUAUUUUUCCUUUAAGAGUUGAUAUUUUGCCAUAAGAAAAUGUCCCAUAGGCCAAACCCAUUCAGGACCUUGAUGAUAGUUAAAUCCAUGAGCUAUUUUAUAAUCUUCAGAAUCAUUAGAAUUAUCAUAAUUAGGCCUAUAAUUAUAAUCUGAUGGAUCUAAUGUCUUAAUUCCAAGCAUAUUUGGAGAGAAUAAAUACUUCUCAACAGCUUCAAUACUUUUAAUAGCAUGCUCAUGAUCAAAUAGAUCUUUUGAAACACCAAUUGCUACAGCAAGAUUACAUCUGAGUUGAUAGUCUGUCCAUCCAUGGGUUGAUUUGAAAGUAUCUUUAUAAAUUUCUCUUCUAUUCACAAUUUUACUGUCAACAUAAUAUUCAUUACUAUCGCAAGAAGGAAUAUAGAAACAACGUUCAAAGUUUGUUUUAAUAAGUUUUGACCAGUCUGAAUAAGAAAUGUAACCAGAACCUGGAUGAGUCACUCCUUUAUGAGGGAAUCUAUUUAAAUUUUGAAGGGUAAUUAGAUGAUUAAUACAUGAAUAUAAAAGAGCAAUUAUUUCAAUGUCUGCUCCAUCUCUUGGAGAAGAUGGAAUUCCUUUAUUAUUAGCUUUCACAGAUGAACCCAUCUUAUCCAUCCAGGUUCCACAGUUAUGGAUAUUUCCACCAAAAAUUAAACCAUUAGAAGGGUCCCAAUUUACUUCAAUAUUGAAUCCCAAGUCCGUCAUUUGCUCAUCCAACUGAACUCCAGCAUUUUCCUCUCUAAAUUUAAUACCUACAACGUGUUUUACCAUAAUAUAUUGUAUAAUAUCGGA